CUACGGGUGGCUGCAGUGGGGAAUAUUGCACAAUGGAGGAAACUCUGAUGCAGCGACGCCGCGUGGAGGAUGACACUUUUCGGAGCGUAAACUCCUUUUAUAUAGGAAGAAGAUGACGGUACUAUAUGAAUAAGCGCCGGCUAACUCCGUGCCAGCAGCCGCGGUAAUACGGAGGGCGCAAGCGUUACUCGGAAUCACUGGGCGUAAAGAGCGUGUAGGCGGAUUAAAAAGUCAGAAGUGAAAUCCUAUAGCUUAACUAUAGAACUGCUUCUGAAACUCUUAAUCUAGAAUAUGGGAGAGGUAGAUGGAAUUUCUGGUGUAGGGGUAAAAUCCGUAGAGAUCAGAAGGAAUACCGAUUGCGAAGGCGAUCUACUAGAGCAUUAUUGACGCUAAGGCGUGAAAGCGUGGGGAGCAAACAGGAUUAGAUACCCGGGUAGUC
rnacentral:rRNA from 1 species